ACAAAUCUGGCUGUCGAGAUGCCUAAAAAGCAUUUCAUAGCAAGGGCCGGGCAAGACCGGUGCCAGCCGCCGCGGUAACACCGGCGGCUCGAGUGGUAACCGUUAUUAUUGGGUCUAAAGGGUCUGUAGCCGGCCGGAUAAGUCUCUUGAGAAAUCUGGCAGCUUAACUGUCAGGCUUUCAGGAGAUACUGUCUGGCUCGAGGCCGGGAGAGGUGAGAGGUACUUCAGGGGUAGGGGUGAAAUCUUGUAAUCCUUGAAGGACCACCAGUGGCGAAGGCGUCUCACCAGAACGGACCUGACGGCAAGGGACGAAAGCUAGGGGCACGAACCGGAUUAGAUACCCGGGUAGUCCUAGCCGUAAACGAUACUCGCUAGGUGUCGGCCACGGUGCGACCGUUGUCGGUGCCGUAGGGAAGCCGUGAAGCGAGC
rnacentral:rRNA from 1 species